AACGAACGCUGGCGGCAGGCCUAACACAUGCAAGUCGAGCGCGCCCUUCGGGGUGAGCGGCGGACGGGUGAGUAACGCGUGGGAACGUGCACUUUUCUACGGAAUAGCCUCGGGAAACUGAGAGUAAUACCGUAUACGCCCUUUGGGGGAAAGAUUUUUCGGAACAGGAUGGGCCCGCGUUGGAUUAGGUAGUUGGUGGGGUAAUGGCCUACCAAGCCGACGAUCCAUAGCUGGUUUGAGAGGAUGAUCAGCCACUCUGGGGCUGCGACACGGCCCAGACUCCUACGGAAGGGAGGAGAGGGGAAUCUUAGACAAUGGGGGCAAACCUGAUCUAGCCAUGCCCGGUGAGUGAUGAAGGCCUUAGGGUUGUAAAGCUCUUUCAGCUGGGAAGAUAAUGACGGUACCAGCAGAAGAAGCCCCGGCUAACUCCGUG
rnacentral:rRNA from 1 species